CGCUGGCGGCGUGCCUAAUACAUGCAAGUAGAACGCUGAAGAGAGGAGCUUGCUCUUCUUGGAUGAGUUGCGAACGGGUGAGUAACGCGUAGGUAACCUGCCUUGUAGCGGGGGAUAACUAUUGGAAACGAUAGCUAAUACCGCAUAACAAUGGAUGACACAUGUCAUUUAUUUGAAAGGGGCAAUUGCUCCACUACAAGAUGGACCUGCGUUGUAUUAGCUAGUAGGUGAGGUAAUGGCUCACCUAGGCGACGAUACAUAGCCGACCUGAGAGGGUGAUCGGCCACACUGGGACUGAGACACGGCCCAGACUCCUACGGGAGGCAGCAGUAGGGAAUCUUCGGCAAUGGGGGCAACCCUGACCGAGCAACGCCGCGUGAGUGAAGAAGGUUUUCGGAUCGUAAAGCUCUGUUGUAAGUCAAGAACGGGUGUGAGAGUGGAAAGUUCACACUGUGACGGUAGCUUACCAGAAAGGGACGGCUAACUACGUGCCAGCAGCCGCGGUAAUACGUAGGUCCCGAGCGUUGUCCGGAUUUAUUGGGCGUAAAGCGAGCGCAGGCGGUUUGAUAAGUCUGAAGUUAAAGGCUGUGGCUCAACCAUAGUUCGCUUUGGAAACUGUCAAACUUGAGUGCAGAAGGGGAGAGUGGAAUUCCAUGUGUAGCGGUGAAAUGCGUAGAUAUAUGGAGGAACACCGGUGGCGAAAGCGGCUCUCUGGUCUGUAACUGACGCUGAGGCUCGAAAGCGUGGGGAGCGAACAGGAUUAGAUACCCUGGUAGUCCACGCCGUAAACGAUGAGUGCUAGGUGUUGGAUCCUUUCCGGGAUUC
rnacentral:rRNA from 1 species